rnacentral:rRNA from 1 species
UGCAGUCGAGCGGUAGCACAGAGAGCUUGCUCUCGGGUGACGAGCGGCGGACGGGUGAGUAAUGUCUGGGAAACUGCCUGAUGGAGGGGGAUAACUACUGGAAACGGUAGCUAAUACCGCAUAACGUCGCAAGACCAAAGUGGGGGACCUUCGGGCCUCAUGCCAUCAGAUGUGCCCAGAUGGGAUUAGCUAGUAGGUGGGGUAACGGCUCACCUAGGCGACGAUCCCUAGCUGGUCUGAGAGGAUGACCAGCCACACUGGAACUGAGACACGGUCCAGACUCCUACGGGAGGCAGCAGUGGGGAAUAUUGCACAAUGGGCGCAAGCCUGAUGCAGCCAUGCCGCGUGUGUGAAGAAGGCCUUCGGGUUGUAAAGCACUUUCAGCGGGGAGGAAGGCGUUAAGGUUAAUAACCUUGGCGAUUGACGUUACCCGCAGAAGAAGCACCGGCUAACUCCGUGCCAGCAGCCGCGGUAAUACGGAGGGUGCAAGCGUUAAUCGGAAUUACUGGGCGUAAAGCGCACGCAGGCGGUCUGUCAAGUCGGAUGUGAAAUCCCCGGGCUCAACCUGGGAACUGCAUUCGAAACUGGCAGGCUAGAGUCUUGUAGAGGGGGGUAGAAUUCCAGGUGUAGCGGUGAAAUGCGUAGAGAUCUGGAGGAAUACCGGUGGCGAAGGCGGCCCCCUGGACAAAGACUGACGCUCAGGUGCGAAAGCGUGGGGAGCAAACAGGAUUAGAUACCCUGGUAGUCCACGCCGUAAACGAUGUCGAUUUGGAGGUUGUGCCCUUGAGGCGUGGCUUCCGGAGCUAACGCGUUAAAUCGACCGCCUGGGGAGUACGGCCGCAAGGUUAAAACUCAAAUGAAUUGACGGGGGCCCGCACAAGCGGUGGAGCAUGUGGUUUAAUUCGAUGCAACGCGAAGAACCUUACCUGGUCUUGACAUCCACAGAACUUAGCAGAGAUGCUUUGGUGCCUUCGGGAACUGUGAGACAGGUGCUGCAUGGCUGUCGUCAGCUCGUGUUGUGAAAUGUUGGGUUAAGUCCCGCAACGAGCGCAACCCUUAUCCUUUGUUGCCAGCGGUUAGGCCGGGAACUCAAAGGAGACUGCCAGUGAUAAACUGGAGGAAGGUGGGGAUGACGUCAAGUCAUCAUGGCCCUUACGACCAGGGCUACACACGUGCUACAAUGGCAUAUACAAAGAGAAGCGACCUCGCGAGAGCAAGCGGACCUCAUAAAGUAUGUCGUAGUCCGGAUUGGAGUCUGCAACUCGACUCCAUGAAGUCGGAAUCGCUAGUAAUCGUAGAUCAGAAUGCUACGGUGAAUACGUUCCCGGGCCUUGUACACACCGCCCGUCACACCAUGGGAGUGGGUUGCAAAAGAAGUAGGUAGCUUAACCUUCGGGAGGGCGCUACC